GACGAAGGGGGCUAGCGUUGUUCGGAAUUACUGGGCGUAAAGCGAGUGUAGGCGGUUGCCCAAGUCAGGUGGGAAAGCCUUGAGCUCAACUCAAGAAAUGCACUUGGUACUGGGUGGCUAGAGGACCGGAGAGGAUAGUGGAAUUCCCAGUGUAGUGGUGAAAUACGUAGAGAUUGGGAAGAACACCAGUGGCGAAGGCGGCUAUCUGGACGGUUACUGACGCUAAGACUCGAAAGCGUGGGGAGCAAACAGG
rnacentral:rRNA from 1 species